GAUGAACGCUGGCGGCGUGCCUAAUACAUGCAAGUCGAACGAAACAAUCCAAGAAAUAUGAAGUGCUUGCACAGAGUAUGGAAAGGGAAAUUGUUUAGUGGCGAACGGGUGAGUAAAACGUAAGCAACCUACCUAUAGGACUGGGAUAACAGAUGGAAACGUCUGCUAAUACCGGAUAGGUAACCUUGAGGCAUCUUGGGGUUAUUAAAGAUUAGAAGCACCAAUAGAUGGGCUUACGACGUAUUAGCUAGUUGGAGAGGUAAAGGCUCACCAAGGCGAUGAUACGUAGCCGACCUGAGAGGGUGAACGGCCACAUUGGGACUGAGACACGGCCCAAACUCCUACGGGAGGCAGCAGUAGGGAAUUUUCGGCAAUGGGCGCAAGCCUGACCGAGCAACGCCGCGUGAGUGAAGACGGCCUUAGGGUUGUAAAGCUCUGUUGUAGAGGAAGAACAGCAUAAAGAGAAUUUAUGUAUGACGGUACUUUACCAGAAAGCCACGGCUAACUACGUGCCAGCCGCCGCGGUAAAAC
rnacentral:rRNA from 1 species